CUGACACACACAUGCUCACUAAAAAGAAGCUCACUGACACACACAAGCAGUAACAUUUUAACAGAGUUAAGGGCCCCUGGGCAAAGCAAUGCACUGGGGCCCUUCCUACACAACAACUCACAGGAAUUUUAAUUAUUGAUAGACUGCGGAGUCCAUACACACACACACACACACACACAGACUGCUGAGUCCAUACACACACACAGACUGCUGAGUCCAUACACACACACAGACUCUGCUGAGUCCAUACACACACACAGAGACUCUGAGUCCAUACACACGCACACACUCUGCUGAGUCCAUACACACACACACACACACAGAUUGCUGAGUCCAUACACACACAUACUGCUGAGUCCAUACACACACACACACACACACACACACACUGCUGAGUCCAUACACACACACAGACUCUGCUGAGUCCAUACACACACACACAGACUCUGCUGAGAUCAUACACACACACACAGACUGCUUAGUCCAUACACACAGACUGCUUAGUCCAUACACACAGACUGCUGAGUCCAUACACACAGACUGCUGAGUCUAUACACACAGACUGCUGAGUCCAUACAGUGUGUGUGUAUGGGGAUAGUGUAUGUGUGUAGAGUGUAUGUGUAUGGGGGG